AUUGAACGCUGGCGGCAUGCCUUACACAUGCAAGUCGAACGGUAACAGGUCUUCGGAUGCUGACGAGUGGCGAACGGGUGAGUAAUACAUCGGAACGUGCCUAGUAGUGGGGAUAACUACUCGAAAGAGUGGCUAAUACCGCAUGAGAUCUACGUAUAAAAGCAGGGGAUCGCAAGACAUGGUGCUACUAGAGCGGCCGGUGGCAGAUUAGGUACUUGGUGGGAUAAACGCUUACCAAGACGACGAUCUGUAGCUGGUCUGAGAGGACAAUCAGCCACACUGGGACUGAGACACGGCCCAGACUCCUACGGGAGGCAGCAGUGGGGAAUUUUGGACAAUGGGCGAAAGCCUGAUCCAGCAAUGCCGCGUGCAGGAUGAAGGCCUUCGGGUUGUAAACUGCUUUUGUACGGAACGAAAAGCCCUGGGUUAAUACCCUGGGGUCAUGACGGUACCGUAAGAAUAAGCACCGGCUAACUACGUGCCAGCCGCCGCGGUAA
rnacentral:rRNA from 1 species